rnacentral:tRNA from 1 species
UCUUAGAUGACUGAGGGUAAGUACUAGACUUUUAAUCUAGAGACAGCAAGUGGAAUUGCUUCUAAGAA